rfam:Crassostrea gigas strain 05x7-T-G4-1.051#20 contig1006, whole genome shotgun sequence.
GUCUCAAUAGCUCAGUGGUUAAAGCGCUGGCACAGUACGCUAGAGGCCUUAAUUGGGUUUGAGUUCCAUUUGAGACU